GACGGAGGAUGCAAGUGUUAUCCGGAAUUACUGGGCGUAAAGCGUCUGUAGGUGGUUUAAAAAGUCCACUGUUAAAGAUUGAAGCUUAACUUCAAAAAUGCCGUGGAAACUUUUAAACUUGAGUAUGAUAGGGGUAGAGGGAAUUUCCAGUGGAGCGGUGAAAUGCGUAGAUAUUGGAAAGACCACCAAUGGCGAAGGCACUCUACUGGGCCAUUACUGACACUGAGAGACGAAAGCUAGGGGAGCAAAUGGG
rnacentral:rRNA from 1 species